rnacentral:rRNA from 1 species
AACGAACGCUGGCGGCGUGCCUAACACAUGCAAGUCGAACGAGAAAGGGGCUUCGGCUCCGAGUCAAGUGGCGCACGGGUGAGUAACACGUGGGUAACCUGCCUCUAAGAUUGGGAUAACUCGUCGAAAGAUGAGCUAAUACCGAAUAAGACCACAGUUCCCGCGGGAACAGGGGUCAAAGGUAGCCUCUGCUUGCAAGCUAUCACUUAGAGAUGGGCCUGCGCACCAUUAGCUAGUUGGUAGGGUAACGGCCUACCAAGGCAAAGAUGGUUAGCUGGUCUGAGAGGAUGAUCAGCCACACUGGAACUGAGACACGGUCCAGACUCCUACGGGAGGCAGCAGUGGGGAAUAUUGCGCAAUAGGCGAAAGCUUGACGCAGCAACGCCGCGUGAGUGAUGAAGGCCUUCGGGUCGUAAAGCUCUGUCGGGAGGAACGAAUGCUCCUGAGGUUAACAGCCUCGGGAGGUGACGGUACCUUCAAAGGAGGCACCGGCUAACUCUGUG